CGAGCCUGAGGAUGUCUACAAGUGGAAGAAAAGAAGCCACUGGAGCAGAAGGUGGGGAGGAUAAAAUUUGGAGCAAGAUUCUCAAGGAAGCAACAAGAUCCUAAGGAAAGGAGAAAGAGACCACCUACUGCAUUUCUGUCACUCGCUGAAAAGGACACUCUGUCAGAAAAUCUUCUAGCAAACUUCAAAGGGCAAAAUCACCCCUUGUUACUGAUAAAGCCCAGAGAGCUUCAGCAGCUAACAUUCCCUGGACAGGGCACAGCAAGGAUUUGAACCUAGGUCAGUCUAGCCAGAACACCCACAAGCUUUCCUUAACUCAGUGUGCUAUCUCCCCACGACUAGGUCACUACUGCUUUAUAAUCACCUUUGUAGCCACCAGUGGAUUUUGCUCAUCAGUAUUUUUCAGGCAAUUGAUACUUUAGAUAUUCAGCUGCAAGACAUAUGCAGUUUUCAUUGACAUCUUUUGGAGAAACUGACAAACCUGGACUUGAAUUAAUGCCUUUGGAACCUUCCAAGAUGUUAUAUAACUCUAGAUAGAAGGCUGGGCCUCCAUGAUGUCAGGAAUGUUGCAUUCUUAUUUCCCCAUAGAUAAACCCAUUUGUCCACAAAGUCAAGGAGUCAGGCAGAGGCCCUUGCCAUGGGGCUUUUUAGGAUAAAGCAACAAGCCUGGACUUUGCUCUACAACAGGGUUUUGCAUAGGGAGUGGUAUGACCAGAUCCCUCAAGAAAGAAAGCUUAGAGACCAGGCCAGAGUCCACUGCAGUAGCCCAGUCAAGAGAGGAUGGUGACUUGGACUUGUAGUAGAGCCAGUUAGAAUGAAAGAAAUUGACACAUUCAGAAAUGGUUUUAGAGAUAGAGUCAAACUGGACCUGAUAAAGAACUAGAGAAGCGGAGUGAGGAUAAAGAGAAGAGCCAUGACUGACUCGGAAGAUUUUGUCUUGAAAAACUUGAGAACUCAAGACAAAGUGAAAUAAAAUCACAUGUGGGAAAAAUCUCCUGCUUUGUUUUGGACUACUUUGAAGUGAAAUGCCUGUUAAGUCUAAGUGGG
rnacentral:lncRNA from 1 species